CCCGCUCGCAGAGCAGCUCGAGUUUCGGUUUCAUGGGGGAUGUGAAACCUGUGGCUGGGACGACGGCGGUUUGGACUUGCCCUUUUCUCAAGCUCUUAUUUGUAAGCCUGGUCAGGCCUUACAGAAAAGAUCAAAGGAAAAGAAUUGGAGGCCGAACAUCAUACAAUUCAGCGUGUGAUGGUAACGGCACUUCCAGUCCACGGGAGAGAACGGGGGACAGAGUAACCUCACUGGAGUCAGCGUCUGUACGAGCACCGAGAGGAAAUAGUGGCAAAUACGAGGCCUCCUGAGGGGGAUGCAUCUCCAAGCCUCACACGGAAGCCCUAAGGAGAAGUGUGUUGAUUUGAUUUCAUACAGACUCGCAACUACUCUGUGUAAAAACACUUUCUGUGAACAGCAAACUGGAAAAAAUAUCUGAAAUACAUACAACAAAGUUAACGUCCUCAUUUGUAGAGAGUUCUUUGGGAAAGGUAUGAAAUGCGUUGGAUGAACAUUCAGGAAGUAAAACUCUCCAAGUGCAUGUGCGGUUGUCGGGGGCAGCGGUCCCUCAUGCUCCCGGGCGCCUACCCUGCUCGGGGAGCAGCACCUGGAGUUUCUGGUUCAUCCCUGCUGCCCUGUCCCCGGGGCCAGGAGCCCCCACGUGAUGUAGGCCCAUCCACUCCGCAGGUUUGCAGCGAUUGGCUCAAAGAUGGGCAUGUGACCCACGUUGGUCCCUGACUUGACUGGAGCGACCAGGAAAAGAACUGAUUUCUCUCUCUGCCGUAUUUGUCCUUCUAUGGCGAGAAGCCUGGCAUCGCCGGGGCCCGUCGCGUGAAACCCCAGCGUGAAGCGACCCAGAAGGUGGAGAAUGAAAAUCAAAAAAACCCCGUGUCCAUGCGGCAGUUACAGAAGCAGGGUGAAGAGUUCGCACCGCCUUCCGGGCCUCGGCGUCCCCCCUGUAACGGGGAGCACACCCCGUCUUGCUGGUGGGACUCUGCCGAGUGCCUGGGACAGGGCCGCACGCGGUGAGCACCCGGGAGCACGGCUGCGUGUAAAGUCGGGAGACCCGAAAUCAAGAAUUCCCAGCGCCUUAUCUCGGGGCAGGGGGUUCGCUGUGGUUUCUGGGCUCCGUCCUGUUCACUGUUGGUGCUAAACAGGCCGGUUAUGCAAUAAAGUUAGUUAACAAUUUA